UCCCCUGUAAAAGGGGAGGGUAGACGCGUCUGCCUCCCGGGGCCGCGGGAGGGGGGGGGGGGGGCGGCGGCGCGCACGGCGCAGGCGCAGACCUCAGCGCCGACGGCUCCGGCCCGGCCCGCGCCCACGUGCUGGGGCCUCGCGCCGCGGGGUGCUCCGCGCCUGCGCCCUCGGGACCGCCGGUCCCCCACGCGGUCCGCGCACCUGAGUUCCACUUGUUACCUCGUUUGAUCUCAACAGUGAACUGACCCUCGAAUCCAGUUGUUGGGAAACUGGACGUUGCAAACAGCGCGAGCGAGCGGAUCUGCUUUUGCUGCUGCACCUUUCAUGAGACCUGAGGCCGGAUCAAGGAUUUCCCCGCGCACACACCGGAAGACUCGGUAUGAAAAAAGGGUGUAAAACAUACCAUCAGUCGUUUUUUUAAAAAUGUUGAUGCCGUCUUGAAAGCACAUUUUGGAUACACAGGGUGGAAUGAAAUUUUAAAAGUAA